GACCUUAACUAUGAAAAUGCCAAGACCCCUGGUGGGUACUUAAGACUAUUAAGUGUGCGCACCAAGGAUGUGCAGACAUCUGGGUGCCAUCCUGUCCGUGGUAUGUGGCCUGGUCUCUGAUGUGAAUUGACGUGAAUUGACUGUGUCGA